GUGCCUUCGGGAACUCUGAGACAGGUGCUGCAUGGCUGUCGUCAGCUCGUGUUGUGAAAUGUUGGGUUAAGUCCCGCAACGAGCGCAACCCUUAUCCUUUGUUGCCAGCGAUUCGGUCGGGAACUCAAAGGAGACUGCCGGUGAUAAACCGGAGGAAGGUGGGGAUGACGUCAAGUCAUCAUGGCCCUUACGAGUAGGGCUACACACGUGCUACAAUGGCGUAUACAAAGAGAAGCGACCUCGCGAGAGCAAGCGGAACUCAUAAAGUGCGUCGUAGUCCGGAUUGGAGUCUGCAACUCGACUCCAUGAAGUCGGAAUCGCUAGUAAUCGUAGAUCAGAAUGCUACGGUGAAUACGUUCCCGGGCCUUGUACACACCGCCCGUCACACCAUGGGAGUGGGUUGCAAAAGAAGUAGGUAGCUUAACCUUCGGGAGGGCGCUUACCACUUUGUGAUUCAUGACUGGGGUGAAGUCGUAACAAGGUAACCGUAGGGGAACCUGCGGUUGGAUCACCUCCUUA
rnacentral:rRNA from 1 species